ACGGGUGAGUAAUGCCUAGGAAUCUGCCUGAUAGUGGGGGAUAACGUUCGGAAACGGACGCUAAUACCGCAUACGUCCUACGGGAGAAAGCAGGGGACCUUCGGGCCUUGCGCUAUCAGAUGAGCCUAGGUCGGAUUAGCUAGUUGGUGAGGUAAUGGCUCACCAAGGCGACGAUCCGUAACUGGUCUGAGAGGGUGAUCAGUCACACUGGAACUGAGACACGGUCCAGACUCCUACGGGAGGCAGCAGUGGGGAAUAUUGGACAAUGGGCGAAAGCCUGAUCCAGCCAUGCCGCGUGUGUGAAGAAGGUCUUCGGAUUGUAAAGCACUUUAAGUUGGGAGGAAGGGCAUUAACCUAAUACGUUAGUGUUUUGACGUUACCGACAGAAUAAGCACCGGCUAACUCUGUGCCAGCAGCCGCGGUAAUACAGAGGGUGCAAGCGUUAAUCGGAAUUACUGGGCGUAAAGCGCGCGUAGGUGGUUUGUUAAGUUGGAUGUGAAAUCCCCGGGCUCAACCUGGGAACUGCAUUCAAAACUGACUGACUAGAGUAUGGUAGAGGGUGGUGGAAUUUCCUGUGUAGCGGUGA
rnacentral:rRNA from 1 species